rnacentral:rRNA from 1 species
GAUGAACGCUGGCGGCGUGCUUAACACAUGCAAGUCGAACGAAGCACUUUAUUUGAUUUCCUUCGGGACUGAUUAUUUUGUGACUGAGUGGCGGACGGGUGAGUAACGCGUGGGUAACCUGCCUUGUACAGGGGGAUAACAGUUGGAAACGGCUGCUAAUACCGCAUAAGCGCACAGCAUCGCAUGAUGCAGUGUGAAAAACUCCGGUGGUAUAAGAUGGACCCGCGUUGGAUUAGCUAGUUGGUGAGGUAACGGCCCACCAAGGCGACGAUCCAUAGCCGACCUGAUAGGGUGACCGGCCACAUUGGGACUGAGACACGGCCCAAACUCCUACGGGAGGCAGCAGUGGGGAAUAUUGCACAAUGGGCGAAAGCCUGAUGCAGCGACGCCGCGUGAGCGAAGAAGUAUUUCGGUAUGUAAAGCUCUAUCAGCAGGGAAGAUAAUGACGUUACCUGACGAAGAAGCACCGGCUAAAUACGUG